rnacentral:rRNA from 1 species
UACGGAGGGUGCGAGCGUUGUCCGGAAUCACUGGGCGGAAAGGGCGCGUAGGUGGCCUGUGGAAGUCUGCGGUGAAAGCCCGGCGCUCAACGCCGGGUCGGCCGUGGAUACUCUCGGGCUCGAGCUUACUAGAGGCAGAUGGAAUUCCGGGUGUAGCGGUGGAAUGCGUAGAGAUCCGGAAGAACACCGGUGGCGAAGGCGGUCUGCUGGGGUAAUGCUGACACUGAUGCGCGACAGCGUGGGGAGCAAACAGG